UCAAGUUCUCAGAAUGAGGUGCCUGGCUCAGCUCCUGAGGCUAUUUUUCCUCUGGAUCCCUGGAGCCAUUGGGGAUAUUGUGAUGACCCAGUCUGCACUCUCCAUUCCUGUCACUCCUGGAGAGUCAGUUUCCAUCUCCUGCAGAUCUGCUAAGAGUCUCCUGCACAGUGAUCUCUCCAGACCCUGUUUACUGCCCUACUGGACAGGACUACAAACAAGUCCCAUAUCUCCACUACUAUGAUCUCAGUUAAAGUCAUCCUCAUUGACUCCUGGGAUCCUCCCCAUCACAGGUUUCUGGCAUGUCCCAGAGAUGCCCCCACCACUCUAUCCCUACCCCUGCAGAUUUCCAUCUAUUCUUCUGGCCAUCUGGCCAUCUCUCCUGUCUCUCCCCAUACCUGAUACUGAACCCCCUCCCCCAUUCCCCUCUUUAUAACCUUCUCCCAUCCAAUUUCCUCCCUCUAUCUACCUCCUAUGACUAUUUUAUGUCUCCAUAUAAAUGAGAUUCAAGCAUCUUCA